GAAUCAUGAUCCAGACCAUUCUGCAAGCAUCACAGCAUUAGCUCUGAGACGGCUUUUCAUGAUUGAAGAUCAGAUCAGCUGAGGGCUAAUAUUUGUGCUUGCGAUGCAUCAUCUGGAGGAAACCAACGGUGUUCUGUGCUGCCCAGGGGUGCAGUUCCGAGCCUCACAUUCAGGGUCACUCAGCUCUCUCCACAGAGUAGGGAGACAAAACAAAUCCUUUUCCUGCUGGAGACCAAGGAUAAUGUUACAAGUUUUCAGGCCCAAAAGCACAAACAAUAGUGGAAUGAAGGGAGGAACAAGAAGCAUGGGACCUCACAACCUGGAGCUGUAACUGGACAAUUAAACCCCAAUAUGCAAAUGGGCAAAAACUUACAAAAGUGUGAGACCUCG